rnacentral:pre_miRNA from 1 species
AAAGACUCAAUUUCUGGGUUUCCGUGUCCAACGUUUGACCGUCCAUCUUAUAUGAAAUUUUUUUAUGAUUAAUAUUUGCAUUAUUGUUAGAUGAUAAAAUAUGAAUAAUACUUUAUGUAUGAUUUAUCUUUUUAAAUUUUUUCAUAUUUUUUUCAAAUAAGAUGAACAGUCAAACGUUAAACACGGAAACCCA